UUAAGAACAAAUUAGUCAUGGAGCAGGCAGCUUUCCCGAAAAUAAAAUGAGAAUCCCCAGGAAACAGGGAAAAUUGAAGGCAGGCGGUGACGCUCCUGGCCUCCAUCAACUGCUUCACAUGAAAGUGGGUCUCAGUGUCCUCACCUACCUUGGUGCCUUCCUUCCCAGUGCCUGCUGCCAGCCAUCAGAGAUGGGAAGCCGCUCCCGUGGUCCAUCUUCAUGAGGACUAGGGAUGUGAUGGCUUUCUGAUGUCCUACUGUAACAGAAAAUGCCCCUCCGCAACCAGUAUACUUCAGUUUCUUAGUUGCCCAGACUGAGCAAGGACCUCUCCAGGUCCCAACAGGAAGGCACACUCUCAAGAUUUCUAAGCCCCCUCAGAGCUCUGGAGGAGGAUUCCUGGCUCUCUGCUUGAGCGGCUCACAUUGGACCCCAAAGGGAGGAGGAUACACUAUGUCUAUCUGUCUGUCUGUCUGCUUGCUUGAUUAUGGUAAGAUCCCCGGGGGUGCCCCAGUUAGUCAGUCUGUCAGUCUUGCUCAGUUUGAGCAGAAGAAGAGCUUGAUCAACUCUUGUUAACUAAGGCCACCUUCAGGGGAAAGGGGUUGGAAUAUUUAACCUCUGAGUGCCUGUUGAAUGUGUGAGAGAGUGGACAUGACAGCAUAUGUAAUAGGCUGCUCCGUCUGUGCACCAAGACAGGGAAGCACUGGUCGUGGUGGCUGAUUGGGCCCUCACCUGUGAUUCUGUGGUAAUCCACAUAUGGCAUAAUGGAGGCCUUGCACCCUCCUUAGCUCAGUUGCAUCUAAGUCCUUCCAAGGGGCACAGCCAGGGGGGCACCUGAAUGGUCUGCCUCUGAGGGGCACCACCCUUUGUCUGUUGCACCAUAAUUCAAGGGUACACAACACACACAUAGGAAGUCAGAGAGGGGAAUUAAUUUGUCAAAACCCAUAGCCCUGACUGCAGGCAAAAGGGAUUUUACAGAGUUAAAAAUGAAACCAAACUGCUCCCUGCAUCUCAAAGAAAAAGAGGAAAAAGAGGCCCAUUCCUCCUGAGAAAUCCACGUUGGCACUCUCAUCAGCCAGCACAGCUGCUGCCAACACCUACAGCUUCACUC